AAGUCGUAACAAGGUAACCGUAGGUGAACCUGCGGUUGGAUCAUUAUCUAAACCAAGGGACUAGGCGAAAGUCUAGUCCCAACCUUAACACUGAACCAGGAUUCGUCCUACUCUAGUCUAAUACAUUAUCGUAAAAAUACUAAAAGAAAAACAACUUUUAACAACGGAUCUCUUGGCUCUCA
rnacentral:misc_RNA from 1 species